CAAGUUUUAACUAUAAAAGGAUCAAAAUAAAUCUCUUUAGUAGAUUUAAAGGAUGAAAAAUAUGGCUCAGCUUCUUCUGUUUAUUUAUUCUUUGAUUAUCUUUCUUUCUCUUUUUUUUGGAGAAGCAGCGUUAGAGAGGACUGAAACCACAAUGCACAAUGUACAACCAUCCCAUUUUAUUCCUUGCUUUACUGCCGCUGAUUGUCCAAUGAUAGAUGAACCUCAUUAUAUUGAGUGUGUUACAGGUUUUUGUUGGGCACUUAUGCGUAAUCUGCAUUAAUUGCAUGAAACUAGGGGACAUCACAAUAUUUCAACUUUUAUUUUGUAUUUAAAAAUAUAAAUUAUGUUUAUCUAGCUGUCAAAUUUAAUUUUAUGUGUAUAAGCUGCACUCUUUUUUCCUUCAUCAAGUUUUAUUCCAUUGAGAUUUCCUGUUAAGGUUUUUAACGAGGCGGUUUUUUAUAGUAUUUGUUUCCUUGGGUUUUGACAUAGUCCCCCAAUUUUGAUUUUAAAUAAAAUGUUUCUUUGAGGUCUUAUAAAUGAUUGUAAUGAGUUAAGAUCCCAACUUAGCUAAGAUUUCCUCAUGUCUUAUGAUGCCUAUGUACGAUCGUGAUAUUAAAAAAAAUGUUAAAUGCAUUUUUCUAUAACAAUUUCUGUA